UGCAAGUCGAACGGUGAAGCCCAGCUUGCUGGGUGGAUCAGUGGCGAACGGGUGAGUAACACGUGAGCAACCUGCCCUCCACUUCGGGAUAAGCCUUGGAAACGGGGUCUAAUACCGGAUAUGAGCAUCCAUCGCAUGGUGGGUGUUGGAAAGUUUUUCGGUGGGGGAUGGGCUCGCGGCCUAUCAGCUUGUUGGUGGGGUGAUGGCCUACCAAGGCGUCGACGGGUAGCCGGCCUGAGAGGGCGACCGGCCACACUGGGACUGAGACACGGCCCAGACUCCUACGGGAGGCAGCAGUGGGGAAUAUUGCACAAUGGGCGCAAGCCUGAUGCAGCGACGCCGCGUGAGGGAUGACGGCCUUCGGGUUGUAAACCUCUUUCAGCAGGGAAGAAGCGCAAGUGACGGUACCUGCAGAAGAAGCGCCGGCUAACUACGUGCCAGCAGCCGCGGUAAUACGUAGGGCGCAAGCGUUGUCCGGAAUUAUUGGGCGUAAAGAGCUCGUAGGCGGUCUGUCGCGUCUGGUGUGAAAUCCCGAGGCUCAACCUCGGGCUUGCAUCGGGUACGGGCAGACUAGAGUGCGGUAGGGGAGACUGGAAUUCCUGGUGUAGCGGUGGAAUGCGCAGAUAUCAGGAGGAACACCGAUGGCGAAGGCAGGUCUCUGGGCCGCAACUGACGCUGAGGAGCGAAAGCAUGGGGAGCGAACAGGAUUAGAUACCCUGGUAGUCCAUGCCGUAAACGUUGGGCACUAGGUGUGGGGCUCAUUCCACGAGUUCCGUGCCGCAGCUAACGCAUUAAGUGCCCCGCCUGGGGAGUACGGGCCGCAAGGCUAAAACUCAAAGGAAUUGACGGGGGCCCGCACAAGCGGC
rnacentral:rRNA from 1 species